rnacentral:lncRNA from 1 species
UUUUGUAUAUUGCAAUCACAGUUGUGGUAACAAUCUCUAAGAUCUUGAAGAAUGAGCUCACAACAGAGAAGAGGAGAGAAGCACCACCGAAGUAGAAGGAACAAUAUCUCCUUUACUAUAAUAUAUGCUUGGUUUGUUUUGUUUUGUUUUGUUUGUAACAUUAAAACAUAAUACUCUAUAUAUAGUAAUUGUUUUUUUAGCAAGAAAUAGUAUUUUUCACUUCUGCUUCCAUUUAGUAUAUUGAACAAUAUAGAUAUGAACAAUAUAUGAUUCAACAUAUUGAAGCUAAA